rnacentral:rRNA from 1 species
GACGAACGCUGGCGGCGUGCCUAAUACAUGCAAGUUGAGCGCUGAAGGUUGGUACUUGUACCAACUGGAUGAGCAGCGAACGGGUGAGUAACGCGUGGGGAAUCUGCCUUUGAGCGGGGGACAACAUUUGGAAACGAAUGCUAAUACCGCAUAAAAACUUUAAACACAAGUUUUAAGUUUGAAAGAUGCAAUUGCAUCACUCAAAGAUGAUCCCGCGUUGUAUUAGCUAGUUGGUGAGGUAAAGGCUCACCAAGGCGAAGAUACAUAGCCGACCUGAGAGGGUGAUCGGCCACAUUGGGACUGAGACACGGCCCAAACUCCUACGGGAGGCAGCAGUAGGGAAUCUUCGGCAAUAGACGAAAGUCUGACCGAGCAACGCCGCGUGAGGGAAGAAGGUUUUCGGAUCGUAAAACUCUGUUGGUAGAGAAGAACGUUGGUGAGAGUGGAAAGCUCAUCAAGUGACGGUAACUACCCAGAAAGGGACGGCUAACUACGUG